rnacentral:miRNA from 1 species
CACUUUUAAAAUCGGUCAUAAAACAACCGAUCUUAAAAACACUUUUAAGAUCGGUUAUUUUAUGACCGAUCUUAAAAGUU